CCUACGGGGGGCAGCAGUGAGGAAUAUUGGUCAAUGGGCGCUAGCCUGAACCAGCCAAGUAGCGUGAAGGAUGACUGCCCUAUGGGUUGUAGACUUCUUUUAUAGGGGAAUAAAGUGCAGUAUGUAUACUGCUUUGCAUGUACCUUAUGAAUAAGGAUCGGCUAACUCCGUGCCAGCAGCCGCGGUAAUACGGAGGAUUCGAGCGUUAUCCGGAUUUAUUGGGUUUAAAGGGUGCGUAGGCGGGGUGUUAAGUCAGUUGUGAAAUUUUGGGGCUCAACCCUAACAUUGCAGUUGAUACUGGCAGCCUUGAGUACGGUAGAGGUAGGCGGAAUUCGCGGUGUAGCGGUGAAAUGCUUAGAUAUCACGAAGAACUCCGAUUGCGAAGGCAGCCUGCUGGACUGUAACUGACGCUGAUGCUCGAAAGUGUGGGUAUCAAACAGGAUUAGAUACCCGGGUAGUC
rnacentral:rRNA from 1 species